CAAGUCGAACGAGACUUUUUAUUUGAUGCUUGCAUCUUUUAAAAAGUUGAGUGGCGAACGGGUGAGUAACACGUGGGUAACCUACCUUAAAGUGGGGGAUAACACUUGGAAACAGGUGCUAAUACCGCAUAACCAUCAAAACCGCCUGGUUUUGAUGUUAAAGAUGGUUCUGCUAUCGCUUUAAGAUGGACCCGCGGCGUAUUAGCUAGUUGGUGAGGUAACGGCUUACCAAGGCAAUGAUACGUAGCCGAACUGAGAGGUUGAUCGGCCACAUUGGGACUGAGACACGGCCCAAACUCCUACGGGAGGCAGCAGUAGGGAAUCUUCCACAAUGGACGAAAGUCUGAUGGAGCAACGCCGCGUGAGUGAAGAAGGUUUUCGGAUCGUAAAACUCUGUUGCCAGAGAAGAACGUGUGUGAGAGUAACUGUUCACGCAGUGACGGUAUCUGACCAGAAAGUCACGGCUAACUACGUGCCAGCAGCCGCGGUAAUACGUAGGUGGCAAGCGUUGUCCGGAUUUAUUGGGCGUAAAGGGAGCGCAGGCGGUCUUUUAAGUCUGAUGUGAAAGCCUUCGGCUUAACCCAAGUCGGGCAUUGCAAACUGGGAGACUUGAGUGCAGAAGAGGAGAGUGGAACUCCAUGUGUAGCGGUGAAAUGCGUAGAUAUAUGGAAGAACACCAGUGGCGAAAGCGGCUCUCUGGUCUGUAACUGACGCUGACGUUCGAAAGCGUGGGUAGCAAACAGGAUUAGAUACCCUGGUAGUCCACGCCGUAAACGAUGAAUGCU
rnacentral:rRNA from 1 species